rnacentral:rRNA from 1 species
AACGAACGCUGGCGGCAGGCUUAACACAUGCAAGUCGAACGGGCACCUUCGGGUGUCAGUGGCAGACGGGUGAGUAACGCGUGGGAACGUACCCUUCGGUUCGGAAUAACCCAGGGAAACUUGGGCUAACACCGGAUACGUCCGCAAGGAGAAAGAUUUAUCGCCGAAGGAUCGGCCCGCGUCGGAUUAGCUAGUUGGUGGGGUAAUGGCCCACCAAGGCGACGAUCCGUAGCUGGUCUGAGAGGAUGANCAGCCACACUGGGACUGAGACACGGCCCAGACUCCUACGGGAGGCAGCAGUGGGGAAUAUUGGACAAUGGGCGAAAGCCUGAUCCAGCCAUGCCGCGUGAGUGAAGAAGGCCUUAGGGUUGUAAAGCUCUUUCAGCGGGAAGAUAAUGACGGUACCCGCAGAAGAAGUCCCGGCUAACUUCGUGCCAGCCGCCGCCGUAAC